AGGAAAGUGCAAAGGGCUAGACCCUCAUCCACCCUGUGUCUGAUGUCCUGGAAAAAUCUCAAAGCCACUCUGAUUGCUGCUGGAGAUGUGAACAAGUUUCCUGAGCAAUGCCACUCCCUGGACUGACACUCAGAAGAAUUUGAGGGAGUCCUCUGGCUUGGUUUUCACUUGUCAGCGGCCAACAUCACUCAGCUCCUGCAGAGGUGGGCUUCGUCCCCUGGAGCGGCCUCCUGCCGGCCACCCUCCCGCCCUGCCCAGGGUGCUGGCUGGUUCCUCCUAUGCAGCCAGGCUCUCAGCCGUGCCUGGGCCUUGAGCCGGCUCCCUCAAGCCCCACGUCCUGGCCCUUCUGCCCACUCGAUGCCCAGUGACUGGAUGGCUACCUGGACUCCACUUGCCUGACGACAGGGGGAUGUGAUUCAGUCGUGUCUGUCUCUGCAACCCCGUGGAC